GACAGAGGGUGCAAACGUUGCUCGGAAUCACUGGGCGUAAAGCGCACGUAGGCGGCUUUUGCAAGUCGGGUGUGAAAAGCCUGGGGCUCAACCCCCAGAAGUGCAUUCGAAAACUGCAGAGCUUGAGUCUUGGAGAGGGUGGUGGAAUUCCUAGUGUAGAGGUGAAAUUCGUAGAUAUUAGGAAGAACACCGGUGGCGAAGGCGGCCCACUGGUCCGGUACUGACGCUGAGGUGCGAAAGCGUGGGGAGCAAACAGG
rnacentral:rRNA from 1 species